rnacentral:rRNA from 1 species
UACGUAGGGUGCGAGCGUUGUCCGGAAUUAUUGGGCGUAAAGGGCUCGUAGGCGGUUUGUCGCGUCGGGAGUGAAAACACCGGGCUUAACUCGGUGCUUGCUUUCGAUACGGGCAGACUAGAGGCAUGCAGGGGAGAACGGAAUUCCUGGUGUAGCGGUGAAAUGCGCAGAUACCAGGAGGAACACCGGUGGCGAAGGCGGCACUCUGGGCCGUGACUGACGCUGAGGAGCGAAAGCGUGGGGAGCAAACAGG